UAUAUUUUGGUGUAUGGUGCACGGAGGUUUUUGAUGCCUUUGGUGUCAGUUUGAUUCUGUCAGAUAUAG
rnacentral:tRNA from 1 species